rnacentral:rRNA from 1 species
AUUGAACGCUGGCGGCAGGCCUAACACAUGCAAGUCGAGCGGCGCGGGGGACGGGGGAGUGAUGGCUAGGAAUAUGCCUGGUAGUCGGGGCUAACGUCCGGAGACGGGCGCUAAUACCGCAUACUAUAAGAUGAACCUCGGUCGGAUUAGCUAGUUGGUGGGGUAAUGGCCUACCAAGGCGACGAUCCGUAUCUGGACUGAGAGGAGGAUCAGCAACACUGGAACGGAGACACGGUCCAGACUCCUACGGGAGGCAGAAGGGGGGAAUAUUGGAAAAUGGGCGAAAGCCUGAUGCAGCCAUGCCGCGUGUGUGAAGAAGGUCUUCGGAUUGUAAAGCACUUUAAGUAGGGAGGCGUUACCAACAGAAUAAGCACCGGCUAACUUCGUGCCAGCAGCCGCGGUAAUUC